rnacentral:rRNA from 1 species
GACGUAGGGCGCGAGCGUUGUCCGGAUUUAUUGGGCGUAAAGAGCGUGUAGGCGGCCAGAUAGGUCCGUUGUGAAAACUCGAGGCUCAACCUCGAGACGCCGAUGGAAACCAUCUGGCUAGAGUCCGGAAGAGGAGAGUGGAAUUCCCGGUGUAGCGGUGAAAUGCGCAGAGUAUCGGGAAGAACACCCGUGGCUAAGGCGGCUCUCUAGUACGGUACUGACGCUGAGACGCGAAAGCGUGGGGAGCGAACGAGG